rnacentral:rRNA from 1 species
AGCGAACAUUGGCGGUAGGCUUAACACAUGCAAGUCGAGCGAGGCGUAAUAGUCGAGCGGCGAACGGGUGAGUAAUACAUGGGAAUCUACCUCGAAGUGGGGGAUAACAGCCAGAAAUGGCUGCUAAUACCGCAUAAUCCGGGAACGGGAAAGCGCGCUGGGCUUUGAGAUGAGCCCAUGGCUGAUUAGCUAGUUGGUGGGGUAAAGGCCUACCAAGGCGACGAUCAGUAGCUGGUCUGAGAGGAUGAUCAGCCACACUGGAACUGAGACACGGUCCAGACUCCUACGGGAGGCAGCAGUGGGGAAUCUUGCGCAAUGGGGGCAACCCUGACGCAGCCAUACCGCGUGUGCGAUGAAGGUCUUCGGAUUGUAAAGCACUUUCAGUAGGGACGACGAUGGCGGUACCUACAGAAGAAGUCACGGCUAACUUCGUGCCAGCCGCCGCCGUAA